GGUGUACUGGAAAGUGUACCUGAUC
rnacentral:rRNA from 2 species